CUUGCUUCGAUCGAAUGAUGAAGAUGGUUUUUUUUUUCUUUUGCGGGGUUCUUUUGCUACAAAUGGUUGUAAAUAUGUAGGAAGAUAUUUUCUUUCAAAUUUUGACUUUUUUAAGGUCGUGCAGCACAUACAUGUAAGGGCACCGAUAUUGCCAUCUUUUUAGCUUCUCGCAGAUAUGAGGAAUGCUGUUUCUUUGUCAGUACAGUUAUUAGUUAAUUAACAUGAUGCAAUAAAUUGGCCAACCUAGCUGAGGGCCUCAAAGCUGCAUGAUUUUGGGGGCCUAACUAUUUGAAGUUUUGUCUUUGUAUAAAUCACAAGUUACAGGUCUCUUGUCCCGAACAAAAUUCUACUUGGGAGUUGAAAAAAGUGAGUGAUGAUUUAGGGUAGGAUAUGAUCACCAUCUUUUACUGUUAUCCUUUUAUAUCUUUGUAAAUGUCUUGAUAUAUGGGGCAUCAUAUGUUAAAGACUUAAAUCUUAAUAAAGAAAUAAUAAAAAAAUGAAAUUCUGUUUGAAAUGCUUAGUUUAGGGGUCUAAAGUAGUUGGGUUGGAUUAUUAAAUUUAUAAAUCAAAUCAAAUUAAUAAACUCGGGCUUCUCAACCUUAGAAUUUUAUGGGAUUUUGAAUAUCUUUUUUUUCAUUUGUACAAAUAUAUAAUUGAUUGGUACUCCAAAUAUUGAGAUGAGUGAUAUUCAGCAAAAGAUAAUAAUGAAAUUGCAUAAAAUAACUUUUACAAAUUAUCAAAUAAUAUCAUAAUUCAGAAGUACUAAAUCAUAUUAAAAUUGUUAAUAAGUAUUAACAACAUGAUUAAACAUCAAGGAAAAGUAAAAUGUCUGAACCAAUGUAAAACUAAAGAAUAAAUAUCAAUAUUAUUGUCAUAUUGAGUGUUGAAUUAUUAUUGUUUUGUUAGCAUUGGUAUUGAUUUGAUUUUGAUUUGAGCUUUAUUAGAGUUACUAAUAUCUAUGCACUAUAAAAAAAUUUCAACGAUUCAAAAUUCUAAGUCUAAAAAACUUGAAGUAAUAUGUUAAUUGUUAAAAGAUAAAAAAUAUUUAGAAAAUAUAUCAAAGUAUAAGAAAUAUUUAGAACAUAUGUCAAGAUAAAUUUUCCCCACCUAGUGGGAUUUUCACUGGGUAUGUUGUUGUUGUUGUUGUCAAGAUAAAUUUUAAAAAAUUAGAUAUAUAGCGUCGGUUGAUUUUUUUUAGUGUUAAUCAACGUGAUCCAGGUAUAGUCGAUUUCUUUUUUCUCAAUACCAAACCAAAUUGAAGUUUUUCUUCAAACAUAAUUUGUGAUUUGAUUUGAUUUUUGGUUCUGUUUUGUACUUCCCUACUCGGGGCAAUUCUUUAUACAUUAUUCGUGGAAAAUAUAUUACUCGACAUAUCAAACUUGUCCAGUAUUCAUUCUCAUUUCAACCCAUCAAAAGAAUGUGGGUUGAAGAAAAAGCAUCACAUAACGCACCAUAUAGGAAGGAAAACAACACUAACAUCAGAGUCAUUGACAUAAUCAGUAAAUAAACAUAAACUUCAAGACAAAAGACUAUACAAAAAUUGUUAAUACUAGAGGAGAAUCAAUAGUAUCCCAAGCCUAAUACAUAAGAAAUUCAGAUAAUACUCACCUAACUAGCCUAAGUAACUUUUAGAGGGAUCAUACAUUUUGACUUGUUAAUUUCUGAGUGAAUUAAAAAUUUGCUUAUUUAUUAAUUUAAUUCAUUUUGAUUUAUCAAAUUCAACCCAACCUGUUUAUCUGUCACCUCUAAAUUAGUGUGAUUGAUAUUGAUUCAAUGUAGUUGAUGAAAUAAACCUAAUGCAAUAUAAAAUUACGUGUUGUUUUAUUGAGUGUUUAGUAUAUGUUUUAAAUAUUAUAUAGAUAAUUUAUGUAACUCUGAUAUAAUAUCUUCUUUGAUUUCAGAAAUAAUUUAAUUAUUAUCCGAGUGUAUUGAAAGAAGAACCUUCAAUUUUCAGUAAAUAUAUUGAUGUAAAAAUACUACAAGAUAAAUUAAAUCUAUAAUAAUAAUACAAGUUUGUAGGUAGUCCAAGUGACCAAGCCAAAUUGACUACAAGGAUCUAGCAAGUCCAACGAUAAUCUCAUAUGUCACAAAAUGCUCAAAAAUAGUCAAUUGAAAAAUUAUGCUUUCUUUUAAAUAAAAUAAAAUAAAAGUUAAGAACCUACUAUCCAAAAACUGAUUUUAAGUGCGAAAAAUGAUUGUCAUUAAUUUGUUUUUUUUUCUCAACAAACUGGUAUAUAAUUUUGUACUAUAAUAUUGAAUAACAAAUAUGGAUUUAACAUCAUAAGAUGGAAGUAAAAAAUAAAUAUGUAAGAUUAUAACUACACUUCUAUAUCAAAAUAUAUGCUAGUAAUGACUUUACUGUUAGAACCAACCUGUGGAAAGACCUCACCACCCUUUCGAGCAACAUCAAUGGGGACUGGUUGAUAGGGGGGAUUUUAAUGAAAUCCUUAGAGCUCAAUAAGUACGGGGGUAGGGGCAUAAAUAAUGUAAAGGUAAAUGCCUUUAAAAGGUGCCUGGACCAUUGUAAUUUGGUUGACCUAGGUUGUAAAGGCUGUAAAUACACUUGGACCAAAAAAAGGUACAAGCACAGAUCCAACCUUAUCCUCGAGAGAUUAGAUAGAUGUUUGGCCAACAACUCUUAGAUUACCAGGUAUCCCAAUGCUUCUGUAACCCACCUGCCUAGGACUAAAUCUGAUCACUGCCCUCUGCAGAUCAGAUUGGAACCUAGCUCUACCUCAGAGAAUAAGAAGACCUUCUGGAUGGAACCCAUGUGGUGUGGGCACCCCACCUUUAGAGACCCAGUCAAAAACACCUGCUUUGAUCUCCCUCAGAAUCUUUCAAACUCCAUUGACCUUCUCCAAAAUGAUGCAAUUGAAUGGAACAAGUCUACUUUUGGCAAUAUCUUCCACAAAAUUAGAAGAAUCCUUGCCAGACUGGAUGGUAUCCAAAGAUCCCCUCCUACCACCAUAGCCACUUUCUCUGAAACCUGGUAGGGCUGGGCAUUCAAUAUUUUGGUUCAAUUUUUUUUUGAUUUUCGAUUCUUGUACAACGUGUACCGAACACCGAACCGAAAUAAUUUAGUUCGAUUUGGUUUAUGUUAUUUCGGUCGGUUUUUGUUAGUUCGGUUUUUGUUCGGUGGCGCCUGGCUGUGUGGAAAGUGGAAAGGUCGGUUGACGGCUGAUCGUUGCUGUGAUGCGUGCUGCUGCAUGCUGGUCGACACCGGUUGCUUCUGUGUUGCGGCUGCCUACUGGUCGACUGGCUGCUGUUGCGUGCUACUGCUGGUCGAAGCUGGUCGCCAAAACUUGGAAGUGGAAACGGUCGCCGGAACUCGGAAGUGGGAACGUCGAUCACUUUUGACCUUUGGGAAGUGGGAACGACGGAUGGUCUGUAAAGUGUACUGUAAAGUGGAAAAGUAGCAAAAGUUUGAAAAGACAAACUUUUGUUUUUAAUUUUUAAUUAUAAUAUUUAUUAUUUAAUAUUAGUAAUUAAUAUAAUAUUAAUAUAUAUUAUAAUAUAAUAUAUUUCGGUAAAUCGAAAUACUGAAUAACACAAAAAUUACAUACCGAAAACCGAACCGAAAUACCAAAAAAAUACAAAAACAAAUACGAAUACCGAAUAGAAAACCAAAAUACCAAAAUAGUUCGGUUCAGUUUUUCGGUGUUUAUGCCCAGCCCUAGAACCUGAAAUCAAGUCUCCUAAAAGACUAUGAUGCCCUCCUCAAAGUGGAAGAAGAAUUCUGGAGAACAAAAUCUAGGAUUGACUGGCUCAGUUAAGGAGAUGCCAACACCAGUUUCUUCCACACUUCCACCAUCAAUAGAAGGAGAAGGAACAAAAUCCUCAACCUUAAAGAUGACAUGGGGAACACCAUAACUGAUCAGACCCACAUCACCUUCCACAUCUUCUCGCAUUUUGUCAAUCUCUUUAAGACUGACCACACCUAUUAGAAGAUAAAGAGCAAGCACCAGGAGGCCACCCAACCCAGGUAGGCACCUUCCCCUUUGGUGAUUUGGACACCCCCAUUAGGGACUCAGAAAUCAUCCAAGCACUACAUUCAUUUAAGCUCACCAAGGCCCCAGGCCUUGAUGGUCUGCAUCCACUUCUAUACCAAAAAUACUGGAAUGAAAUGGGUGAAAAAACAUCCAACUUCUGCAAGGAAGUGUUUGCCACCAGCACUAUGCCCAGCUCCAUAAAUACCACCAUCCUCUGCUUAAUACCAAAAAGCCUGAAUGUUUCUAACAUUAGAAACUUCAAGCCAGUUGGUAUGUACAACACCACCUACAAGCUUGCCCUUCAUCUCCAGAAUCAUUGGCCCUAACCAAACUAGUUUCUUAUCCAAGAGAAGAGUUGCUGACAAUGCUAUCAAUGUCCAAGAGUUCAUCUCCCACUUCAACAAAAUGAAAGGGAAACAUGCUAAUAUGAUCUUGAAGAUUGACCUGGAGAAAACCUUUGACAAGCUUGAGUGUUCCUAAAUCAGAGAUUCCCUCAUUUUCUUCCACUUUCCCACCAAGCUCAUAAACCUCAUCAUGUCAUAUGUUAGCAGUAGCUUUAUUUUCAUCCUGGUAAAUGGGGGAAAAACUAAUUUCUUCCAACCUUAUAAAGGCAUCAGACAAAGUGACCCCAUGUCCCCCUACCUUUACACUAUAUGCAUGGAAAGACUCUCUAAAGGCAUCCAUAAGGAGGUGGGAAGAAAAAAUUGGACCCCUAUUAAAAUCACCACCUCAGGACCCAAAAUCUCACACCUUUUCUUUGUUGAUGACCUCACCUUAUUUGUAAAAGCAAAUGGACUGAACUGCAAUUCCAUUGUUCAAACUUUGAAGGAAUUAUGUUUAGAAUCUGGCCAAAGUAUUAACCCUGAAGUGUCUAAAGUGAUCUUCUCCUCCAACUGUACCACCUAAAAUAUCUCCACCUGCUCCACCAUCCUUGACAUAAAAUGCAGUACCUACUUUGAAAAAUAUUUGGGCUUCCCCAUCUUCCAAACGAAACCUACCAAUAGUGACUUCCAGUUCAUCCUUAACAUUAUGAACACCUAGCUAGCUAGCUGGAAAACCAAACUCAUGAACAUGUCUGGUAGAACUGUUCUGACAAAGGCUUCCCUUAGUAGCAUUCCCAGCCAUGUCAUUCAAUAUAUCCAAAUCCCAGCUAAAAUCAACAAGCUCAUCAAUAGAACUCAAAGAAACUUCAUCUGGGAACAAACACCGAGAAGAAAAGAAUGCACAUGGUCAACUGGAUACUGUCACAAAACACAGAAUUGGGGAAGGACUAGGUAUGCAGAGAAGUGAGUAAAGAACAAAGCAAUUCAUGCUAAUCUAGCAUGGAGGCUAAUAGCCUAUAGGGGUAACUUCUAAUCAACAAGUAUUCCAAACAUGAGUCUGACCGGAGGAGGAACGAGUUUCAAGAAUAUGGAAUUGCAUUAUGGAAGGGUGGAACGAAACCAAAGAUGAACUUAGAUGAGUUGUUAACAAGGGCAACAAAGUCCAUUUUUUCAACCAGAAAUGGAUCCCCCACCAAGACUUUAUUAGAAACAUGAUACAAGGGCCUCUCAAACAGGGUGAAGAAAAGAUGUUAAUCAAAGACAUCAACACUAACGGUACCUGGAAUCUCAAUAACAUCUCCUUCCAAAUCACAGAAGAUAUCAAGGCAAGCAUUGAGGCCAUUAGUAUCAACCCUUACAACCCACGGGAGGAUCGACCCAUCUUGGGCUUAUCAAAGGAUGGUAAAUUUACCACCAACAAUGCUUACAAAUACAUCUAAUCCAGAACCUCUAGAAUCCCUAAAAUUCAUGGGAGAAAUUUUUUUGACUGGAUUUGGAAAAGGGAAAAGGGUAAAAAAUACCCCUCAACUUUGUUUUAUUGGUUGACUUACCCUUACCGUUAAAGCAAAGUUAUUUUUACCCCUGUCGUUACUAAUUUCAUCAUUUGUAUCCCCAUGUAGAAGGAAAGCCCUACAUUGACUAAAAUUUACCCGAUUUUAAUUAAAAUUACCCGAUUAUCUAGUUUAACCCAAAUCCGACCCAACUAACUUAACCCAAACCUUCUUCACCUCUUAUAUUUAAGCAAAAGCUUAAGAACUUGUCCAUCUUUAAAGGUCCAUACUUUCCUAACAAAUCAACAAAACACCCAUCAUCUUCUCCCAAAACCUAUCAUUUUUGAGAACCCAAAUCGGCAAGAACUCAAACCGAAAAGCAAAAAUGAUGCACAUGACCUUUUAUUAAGGUAAAAAAGUGACCCUUUUGUUCAAUUUCUGGAGAACUGAACUCUGUCGCCGUUGCCUCGAGCGUCGUCGUAAAUGCUCAUCUUCUUUACACUUUCUGACCGUCGAUGGUAAGUGGAACUCGGCGAGAUUCGCUAUGACGAUUGUUUUAGGAAUCAAUUUGACAUUGGGUAUAUGCUUACGUUGAUUGUUCGACAUUUUUGUGGCUAUCGUUACGGGCUUGGCGAUCAGAUAUUUGCUAUUUAGGAUCGGUGAAGAUGAUGUCAGCGUUGAUAAUCCAUGUGCUUGAGCUUGAUAUAUAAUAUUAGUUAAUGGAUUCGGUUGUUGUAUUUAUGAAUACUGAUUCCUAAGCUUGAAAAAUCAAAUUGAAACAAUUUUUGAUCUUGUGAAUUUGCUUCGUUAUUUUGGGAGGGUGGAUUCUAAUGAAGAUCAAUUAUGUUAAAGUAAAAAAAAUUGAAUCGACAAGCUAAUGAUCCACAAGAAUAUAUGUUUCAGGGAGGAAGAAGAUGAAGAGGAAAUUAAUUUUGGUAUUUAAUUUGUCGUGAGUUUUGUUUUGCGGGUUGGAUCCAAAUUUGGGUCAAAAAGAUGAAAUCGGGUAAUUUCAAUUGAAAUGGGAUAAUUUUGGUCAAUUUGGGGCUUUUUAUCCAAUUGAGGGGUACAAAUGAUGAAAUUAGUAACGGCAGGGUUAAAAAUAAGUCGAAGGGUAUUUUUGACCCUUUCCCCUUUGGAAAAGGAACUGCCCAAAUAAAAUGAAAACCUGCAUGUGGCUUUCCCACCAUGGAAGGAUCCCAACAUCCCAAUACCUCCAUAACAUUGGCAUGAAUAUCCAACCUAGCUGUCACAUCUGCGACCACCCCAAAGAGGACAUCGACCAUAUAUUUUUCAAAUGCCCCAAAGUUACUGAAUUCUGGGAUGCCAUCUUGAGUAACAACAACUCCACCCAUAAGCUAGAUAGGAGCAUCCUAACCUUAGACUCCAUGCAAGAGAUCUAGCAAAACACUGGCUCAAAGCAAUACAACGCUAUCCUAUCCUGGGAUAUUAUCUUACAUCAGUGCUUCUGGGCUACUGGCUCCAAAGGAAUACCAACACUUUUUUUUUAUAAAAAAAGACAGUAUCCCCUUCGACAACAUGAUGAACCAAGCCACUAAAUACCAGCUCAUCAUAAAGAACAACAACAGGGUCAAGAGAAAUCACUACACUAUCCAGGUUAAAUGAGACCUUUCUGCCAUAAGAAAGUUCAAAUUAAACAAAUAUAGAGCAGUCAAAAACAGCCCAGGCGGCCUAAAAAGUGUCAUAAGAAAUCACAAUGGGGACUGGAAAGUGGGCUUUAUGAGCAAGAAACCACAAAUCGACCCCAUUCUAGCGGAAAUCCGAGCCCUUAGACAAGGGCUGCUCAUAGCAAUCCACCACAAUCUCAUGCCUCUAGACAUCAAUUCUGACUCAACAGAAUUAAUCACAUACUUGGAGCAUAAUAACCACCCUUAUACUAACUUGACUCUCGAAUGCAGGUCGCUAAUAGAGAAGCUGGGAGCAGCACUACCAACACAUAUUCAUGGAGCAAAAUCAGGUGGCGGACAAGCUUAGCAAGGAGGGCCUCAACUGCACCACCUUUGGACAUCCAAUUCCUCCAUUGUUUGGGUAGACAUUCUAGGAACUAUGUAUUUAAGAAAACUUAAUCCUUUAAUUAGUGAUGUAUUAGGCCAUACCACGGCUCCAAAUUCUAUUUGUACUGCCUCCGGCAUCCACUCUAACUCUAUUUAGUUAAUAUGAUUAUCCAGUUUAUAAAAAAAAACAAAAAAAUGAUUCAAAAAGAAAAGGAAAAAUAAGGAAAAGAAGUAGAAAAGGUUGUUAUGCUUCUAUAGUAGUAGAUCGAAAACACACUGAAAAUUUCCUAUUUCAUUCUUUUGAGAGAAAAAACAGAAAAUAAAACAUACUUAAAACUCUCUAUUCAACUAGUCGAUUGAAAGAAGAAAAAAGACUAAAAAUUUCUUAUUUCAUUCAUCUGUAAAAAAAAUCGAUUGAAAACUCUUAAUUCCAUUCGUCAACUGAAAGAAGAAAAAAGAAUGAAAACUCCCUAUUUCAUUCUUCUGAAAAAAGAAGACCUAAUGAAAACUCUAUAUUCCAUUCGUUGACUGAAAGAAGAAAAAAUACUAAAAACUCCAUAUUUCAUUUUUCCGCAAAAAAAAAUCGAUUGAAAACUCUCUUAUUCUAUUCGUCUAUUGAAAGAAGAAAAAAAAAGUAAUUUUUUUCUAUUUCGUUCUUCCGGAAAAAGAAAACUUACUGAAAACUCUUUAUUCAAUUCAUCGACUGAAAAAAGAAAAAGAAAAAGAGCACCGAUGAAGAUGCAGAAAUCUUAGCUCGCACUCGCUUCGUUGCUCUUUCACUGCUACAUUUAGGUCUGUUUUCGUCUAAAAAAUUGGUGAUAUCAUUAGUCGAGCACCAUCUAUUUUUAUUUUCUUGUAUUUGUUGGUUCCAUUGGUUAUUGUUCUGAUUCCUAAUUUAAAAAAAGUUGUUGCUACAUUUGACCAUUUUUAAAUGAAACUUAAUGUUAUAUUGUCGUCCAUUGUUAAGAUUUUUAAAUGAAAAGUUGUUGCUCCAUUGUCGCUCUUUCUUUCUUUAUGCUACAUUUAGAUCAGUUCAUGAAACAACAUCAAAAAAUUUAUAGGCGUACCACAACACAGUGGGUUGUAUAAUUUUCUAUCCACUAUAAUUCAGAUGAGUCAUUAUAUUUCGUACUUGAUAUAUAUGAAUUCUGAUAUAUGAGCCUUGAAAUGGGCUAGCUGUUAAAGAGAAUGAAAUAAAUUAAUCUAACAAGUAAAUGAAAUUGAACGUCAACUGGCUUACUGAGCUUAAAGAACAAAAAA
rnacentral:lncRNA from 1 species